AUAGAGCUAAUAUGUAAUCCACUGGGUGGCGCUGUCAGCGAUGGCAGCCUCGCCAACGGUCUGUCUGUCUUGUCUUUUUGUUAUUUUUAGUGUGUUUUAAAAAGUCUGUGUUAGUGUUCUCUGGUUUGUUUUAUGUGGGGG